rnacentral:lncRNA from 10 species
CUCAGCUGUAAGUUCCUGGGGAAUAGGGAGUGGUGCUUGGCACUGCACCCCCUGAUGCCAUGGAAGGCGCACAGUCUGUGCCCCAGCAGGAUUUAUUCAGUGAGCAAGUCUGGAAAGGGCUGCUCCAGAAGGAGGGUGAAGGCUGGGCUGCACAGAGCCUGCACCUUCUUUGUAUUUUUACAUUGGGCUUCUCUGACUGCCCCUAAAAUAAAAAUGGGGAUAAUCCAUUUUCCUGUGAGAGAAAUGAAAACCCACGAAGACUAAAUGUCCUGCCCGCUGUCCAGGUGCAGUGAGGGGCGUGGCCGGGACCAGAAUCCCUGCUUCCCUGUUCUCUAGUCAGUGCUGCUGCUGGAAACCAGAGUCUUCUUUUGUUUUCCCUCUCACCUCUGGCUGCCUCUCUCUCCCCUCAAAGGUCAGAGCAGUGCCAAGGACAGAAGAGAGAGUAGAUCCAGCCUUGGCCCUGCUAGGCUGGGCAGCCUGGCAGGUAGAGUCAGCAGGGAUAGAGCUUGCUUUCCUGUUCACGAUCUUCAGCCAAGUUCAGGGAGGUCUGAAUACUGAGGCCUUCAUAGCCACUGCACCCCAGGUAGCUCAGGAGAACCUCCGAGCGCAGGAGUGCAAAGGCUGGCAUUCUUCAGGCUCUGAGGCUGUCCCUUCCGGUGGAGGUGAACUGCUUCUUAUUGAUGUGGACAAGACUGUGGCAGGAGAAUGCUUCCCAGAUGUGUAGGAUUAAUGGUGAAUAUUACACAGCACCCCCUGGACAGAGAUGGGUCCUGGGUGACUCCAGGCCCUAAAAACCUUUCUCCAGCGUGGACUAGCGGGGAGCUCCAGUCCCCACCUGAGAGUUGAAGGAGCAUCCCCUCCCUGCUUUGCGAUGGCUCCAGAGACAAGACGUGUGCCCUGCCCCCACCCCACAUUGUCUACUUUGAUUUACAGCACAGCCAUCACAGGGGGACCUUUUUGGUUAACAUUUACAAAAGUGCUUUCUGUCUGGUUUCUAGAUGGAGACUGACAGGAUCCUGGCUUGGGGGCCUUCCGGCAGGGCUGGCUGCUGGGCUGGCAGGCUCUGGCGCUCCCCUUCCCCAGAACUGACUUUGUUCCUGGCAGCCAUGGUGGCUGCACUAACCACAUUCUGCCUCCACCUUUGCACUAAGAAAAGCAAAUAAGCAGACCACAGAACUGUUUGCAUUUGCCCCAGAUGCUCCCUGGCUGCGGGAAGAGACACAGCAAACAGCAGUGCUGCGGAGGUAUGUCUAAUUGCAGAUACUUUUUGUUCAUCAUCGUAUUGAACGUCGUUGCGUGUUCCAGCAGCCAUCAACUUCCUCAGGAGGAAAAUUCAAUUGUGCACUGAGCGACAGCGUGAAGAGACCGGGCCAAGCAGGCAGGGUGCUGCAGGUCAACAAGGUGCUGCUGUGCUCCUGAAGCCUUCAGGAGCCUCAGCCUGAGAGCUCAGGAAAGGGUGGGGCUCCAACCCACCUGGCUUUCCGCCUUACUGAGCUCCAAACACAGGCUUGUUCCACAUCACGGAGAGCCCUUAUCCUGCAUGUGCGUCUCGCUCCCUGACAAGCCUAUUUGUGCCUUGUCACCAGAAAUGUACCUUUUUUCUUCUCUCAUCUGUCCCUGACACCCCCAGCUUAUCUAGCCUGAAGAGAGGCUAUCAAAAUGGUAAUAGCCAGAUGGAAAACAAGGAAAAAUAAGCCCUUUCCCAUAAGGAAGCAAUACGGAUUUUGGAACCGGAGAAAUUUCUACUAUUCUCCCAACAUCAUUCCCUCCGCCUUGGGUGUGCUUCCGAGAGGGUUGGAGGUGUCACCUGCCGUACCCUAGGACUGGCUGAGGGAAAACACACCUGAAGAUUUCCUGUAAAUGAAAAAGUGAAUCACUAAAAGGGGGAGCUGUCAUCCCCUGGCAUUUCUCUGUGCACAGGCGACCUAGUGUUGGGAUGGCAGCAGAACCCAGACAACUGAGCCAACACGUGGAGGGAAGCCCUCACUAGCCUGCAUUCGACUUGUGUGAGAGAGAAGUGAACGUUUACGUGCAAAGCCACUGAGCUUUUGUUGUUGUUCCUGCAGCACAGGGCAUUCUAACCUGCCUAAUACUGAAACGAGUACUGUUAGGCUUGAUCUGUGAAGAGGAGAACAUAAAAGGCCUGCAUAUUCUCUUUUAGGUCCUAAAAAUGCAGUGCUCUCUUCUUGGCCUUGCUGUGACCAGGCUGUUUAAAAUCUGUCACCCCGCCAGUCGCCACUGUAUUAUCUUGCUUUAUUUUUCUUCAUAGUAUUUAUUGAUAAUUUAUGUGCUUAUUAUGUCUCCCUGACUGGAAUGUAAGUUUCAUGAAGGCCAGGACUUGUGCCUUAAAACAGGGCCUGGCACAGAGUAGGCACUUAAUGUGUAUUUUUGAAAGUGAAUUGUGGGCUGAAAAUUCUGAUUUUUCAAAAAAGUUAAUAAAGGUGAAGGCCUUCCUUGCCUUUAUUAAAUGCUUAAAAUGGAUCAGUGGUGGGGUAGAGAUGGAAGGAGUCACACACAUACUGUACCUUCAACGGGUUUCAAUCUAACUGGGAGACAAAAUAUAGAAACAUGAAACAAGCAGAGAGCAAAUCUCUAGGUACCUAAGAGUUAAUUAAGUACUAAGGGUGUACUUAAAUUUGUGAGGGAGGAAGGGGAAGAGGACUGUCCAGAGGUAUGGCUAACUACCAAAAACUCUCUGGAGCAGACAGCUUUGGCAGCAGACUGAGAGCAGGGUUCUCCAAUUUGAGCUUGCAGAAGAAUCACCUGGAAGGCUUCUAAAACCUAUACUAUUGGCCCCACCCCCAGAGUUUCUGAUUCACUAGAUCUGGAUUAUACCUGGGGAUCUUUUUUUUUUUAGACAGAGUCUUGCUCUGUUACCCAGGCUGGAGUGCAGUGGCACUAUCAUAGCUCACUGCAACCUCGAACUCCCCGGUUCAAGGGAUCCUCCCACCUCAGCCUCCCCAGUAACUGGGAUUUCAGGCAUGUGCCACCAAGCCCGGCUAAUUUUUUUUUUUUUUUUUUUGAGAUGGAGUUUCAUUCUUGUUGCCCAGGCUGGAGUGCAAUGGUGCAAUCUCAGCUCACUGCAAUCUCUGCCUCCUGGGUUCAAGUGAUUCUCCAGCCUUGCCUCCUGAGUAGCUAGGAUUACAGGCAUGUGCCACCACGCCCAGCUAAUUUUGUAUUUUUAGUAGAGAUGGGGUCUCACCGUGUUGGCCAGGCUGGUCUUGCACUCCUGACCUCAGGUGAUCCACCCACCUCAGCCUCCCAAAGUGCUGGGAUUACAGGUGCCCACUGCCGUGCCCAGCUUAAUUUCAGUAUUUUUAGUAGAGAUAGGGUUUCUCUAUGUUGGCCAGGCUAGUCUCAAACUCCUGACCUCAGGCGAUCCACCCACCUUGGCCUCCCAAAGUGCUGGGAUUACAGGCCUGAGCCACCACACCUGGCCUCACCUGUAUUUUAAAUUGAGUUUUACUGGGUAACAGCCAUGGUCAUUCAUUUACAUAUUGUCAAAGGCUGCUUUCAAGCUACAACAGCAGAAUUUAACAGUCUCAAGACCAUAUGGCCUGCAAAGCCUAAAAUAUUUACUGGCCCUUUACAGAUAAAGUUUGCUGACCCCUAGAGAGGAAGUCAUGGCCCAUGGCUGGCAGAUGGAAGCCUCAGGACCUGAAGAUUUCUCAAAGAAAGGGACCUGCUGCUGACAGCAAUUAAUAUAUGUUCACAGCUUGCAGCUGAAGCCUGAUGAUGGCUGUAGGAGAAAGGACAUCACCCAGAUGACAUUUUGCCUCCAAAGCUCUGGGGACCAAUUGUGGAAGAACUGCAGGGAUAUUAUGUUAGAAUGUUCUUGUGUCUGGAUAGGAUGAGAACUGUCUUAUAACAAAGUGCAGCCCCCAUGUCUGAGGGCAUGUUUCCUGUGUUUAGGCACUUCCGAAGCAGGGAGCACCUUCAAGGGGCACUGGCCUUCCCAGAAACAGUGUUUGACCUGUGAUGAUGUCCUGGGGGAGGGGACCUAGGAAAAGACCUUAGCCUUUCCAUAAGGCACGAUUAUUCUCCUCUAUAGAGCCUCAAAAGUCAAGUCAAGUAGCAAGCACACUGUGCUCCAGUCUGUGGCCACAGACACACACAAGGACUGGAGCAAAACCAAACAUAGUGUAUCAUCACCGCUGAACCCCCAGGAGCCCCCAGAUGCUUUUGAACGUGAAAGGAGAAAGAAGCUGUCAGAGAUCAGGUUGAAUGUGGUGGGUUAGGUGUGCGGCAUUGCCUCUGGGUCCCUGCUUUGGUUUAAUUAAACUAAGUCUGGUGGUGAAUUGGUUCCCAAAUGUUCAUUGGUGGAUGGGCGGCAUCAGAAUUGUCUACAUCUUUUAAAAAACACGUACGCAAAACCUAUGCAUGUCUUCCUCUGAGAGUUUGAUUUUCAGCAGGCUUGGGGUGGAUUCCUACUUUUAAGAACUCCCCACGCCCGUCCUAAGUGAUUGUGAUUCCCAGUAAGUGAAUGCUGACAAAUUGAACCUUCCAGCAUGGACAUUUAUUUAUGAAAUAAAUGGACAUUAAUUUCACAGUCUUUCUAUGGAUUCGAGGUGGUGCUGGAUCCACAGGCUCACCUGGCCCCCUAGCUUUCUCUGCAGAAUCUGCCAGUGUGCCUUCAAUCCCAAAAGAAGUCGCUUUUCAUGUGCUGCUGGAGCUUUUGAUUGGCGGUGACUGAGAUGGGACUUUAAGUUCUCACCAGGAUGCAAAGUGGGGUUCCAACUUUACUGCUUUCUGAACCCUGCUGAUCUGUCCCCAACCAAGGCUUGAUUUUCUUCUGAAGCGCAGUAUUUUUAAACUGUGGUUGAAAUCUAUUCAUGGGCUAUAAAAUCAGUUGUUGAGGAUGUAACCAUUUUGAAUUAAUUUUUAAUUCAAAAAAUUAGACUAGAAAUUUUUAAUUUUAAUUCAAAAAAUAGACUAGAAAAAAAUCAGAGUGCAUCAUGUAUGGUAGGGAUAAGUGUAAUUCUUUCUGUAAAACUUGUUUUGGAGGGUAUGUUGUGCAUUGGGCUUCUGUGUAUUUCUUACUACGUUUCACAGGGAAACUGCUGUCAUCUCUGCAGUACAAUAUAGAUCAACAAUGGCCCUAACUUCCCUAAGACAGCUCUCAUGUCUGCUUGCAGAGAACAGAUGGAAAAAGUCACCAGGGAGGGUAGAUUGCCAUAUACAAGUACUUCAGGGAGGCUACCUGGAAACUAAUAGAAAACCAGUUUAUGGAUGAUUGCAGAGCCUGGGGAGAGAAAUCAAUCUUGGACAGUUUUAUGGAUGGCAGCCAACAGCCUACCAUGCUCAGCCCAUCGCACCUGUCACCUGGGGACAAGCAGGGUCUAUCUGGAACGGACUCUGGCCAGGAUUCAGUUUCUCUUUCCUCGAAAUGGGGAUAAUCACCCUCUUGACUAUUGCUGUUAUGGGAAAGGCCAAAUUAGGGGAAAAAAAUUCUGUCCAAUAAGGGAUGAACCACAAAGCUCAGGCCAGUAAUGGCCUCUAUUGGUGGUUUGGGAGGUAUGCUUGUAUGGGCAUUAAGGGAGAAAGAGAAGGUCUGCACUCUAAUCAAGUCUAGGCAAUGUGGGAGUUGGAAAGAGACACAUGGGAACACAGACCCAGUCACCUGAAGGCAAGAGCCUUUCUUUUUCCUCCUCUUGGCAGGCAGCGUGGGCUCCCGGGCCCCAAGCAGGAUCCCUUAGGGCUGAUCUCUUACCACACACUGGUCUGACUUGGUGACCUGGAAGAGGACAGUCAGAGCCAACAGGAUGAGGGGACCAGCUUGGAGAGCAUCUAUUGUAUGCCACCCUUGAGUGGCUGGAAAUGUCUUCUGCCACUUUGCAAGGGGCUGGGGGCUGGGGAGUGGGAGUGGCAAGGGAACACGGGGUGGUAGAUUGUUCCCAGGGCUGCUGGUUUUGGAGCAGUCUGACUACCCUCUCUUCUUAGUGGGAAAGAAAGGAGGAAGAAGGGGGAAGGGAUGCUUUUGGAGGGGAGCUCUAAGGGUGGGAGAAAAGAAAGCCUGAAAGAACAUCACUAAAGGGUCUGAAGUUAAAGACUCCAAUGAACAAGAAGCCCCUAAUUCAAACAGUGCCACUAACACCAAAACCUGUAAAGUGGUCCAGAGAGACCCUGGUCAUGUCUGUAACUUUCCUUUUUAAAGCUCUCGUGAAGUUAAUGAAUGAAAAAAUUGCUAAUGCAAAGAUGGAAAUUAAUAAAAACAAAAGCGUGCUUCAUAUUGCAGGGUGACCACCUCUAAUCCUACCAGUGAUCCUGUGGCUGUCCCUGUAACUUCCUUUGGCAACACCAUGCUUUGAGAAGCUGUGGGGAAGGCUGGCCAGGGAGAGAGCCUCACCCCCCAAUUCUGCCAGCUGAUCCCCCAGAGGGCUGCAAGGCUCCUGAUUUACCCAGACCUCUGGAGUGGCUGAGGCUGGGCUCUGGGGUUGGAUGGUUCUCACCAAGAGGCCUGGGACAUCUGCUCUGUGCUAAGCUCCGAGGCAGACCACAGAGGAGAUAAUGACUAAUCGGACCUUCACAUACAUUGUACAUGCCUUUUCUGAACUGAAAAAGAGAAGAACAAACAAGAUAAAAAUAUUGAAAAAAAAGAAGAAUCAAAUGUGUAGAAAAUGCAAGGUCAUUAGAACUGCCCAGGGCUUCAUUCAGGCAAAGAUCUUGAGGGUCUGGCCAGGGACCUGCUGAGUAAAUCUAGCUCUGGUUCCCCUCCCACAGAUUCCCUGCGCCUCCUCCAACUGCAUAACCAAAUCUCCCCACCUCCCAACUUUCCUUGAGCUAUUCUGCUGUUUUCUUCACUUUAGUUUUCUCACUGUAACCC